rnacentral:tRNA from 1 species
UUAAACAAGCCGCUUUG